GGCUAUGGAUCAAGCUUCAGAGAAAGGUCUAAUUUUCAUUGAUGGAUCUGGACCCACAUAUGCUACUGCCACAGUAAGAAUAUAUCUCUUACGGUAACUCUUCCUCUUUCUGAUGCUAGUCUCUAUUACUGUCUGGGAGAAUAAUAACCAGAUUUAACUUUAUGGUGUUAACACGCAUGCGUCACAUUACGCUUAUUUUUCCCUUUUCCCAACUAUUUUUGGUGUUUUCUGCUGGGUGUUCGUCAGCCAUUGUAACAACCCAUUAGGUCGUUUUGGGUACUAUAGCUUCUUAUUUCAUAAAAGACUCUUCUGAUAAAUUCUAAAUGGGUAUUUUGGACUAUUCGUAACUAUAGGUAUAUAACUAAUGGGGUAAUUUUAAUAAUUAAUUUAGUCGGUGGUUAAAGAAAAUAACAUUAAAAUUAGUAGUGAGCUUAAUUGGUCAUGUAUAAUAAUUAGGGUAAGAAAUAAUCUGUAAAAGAAAGAAAAGUGAAAACUAGGCGAGAAACUUUACUUGCGGCGUCUAACAAGGAAGACCGACAUCGAGGUAAUGUUUUGAAUCUUCAAUGUCCUUAUUUAAUGGUAGGGGGUUAAGUAUUAUAUAAUAAUAUUUCAUGGUUAGAUAUGAAUUGAAAGUGGGUGUUAGCGGAUGUGCUGGGAGUUUGGAUUUUGAAUAAGAAAGUGAGGGUGAUAAUGAAUUGGUUGAUGGACUAAUGAUUAGCCAAUCAUUGACUUGAUAAAUUAGGCUUAUAGUAUAUGAUAAAUUUGGGUUAGAGUUGUUGCCACUACUUUUCGAUGCCAAUGACUUUAAUCUUGAAUUUUAUUACGUUGUCAUCAUAUUAUAAAUUGAGAUUUAAUAUAUUGAGAUAUGUAAUUAAAUAUUAGGUGUAUUGUAUAAUUUGAAUAUCAUUAAAGUGAUGAUAAUUAGAGCAAUUGAGACUUAUCCUUAGGCUUGAACUUUAGGAAAGUGACUAGAUUUGGGUGAGUUUUUGGGUCUAGGCUAGACAUAUAGUAGUAUGGGUGUCUAUAGACUCGUUUACUUAUGAAUUAUGCAUGUUUAAUAGAUUGAAAACGUUCAGAGGCAUUGAGGAAAGGAAAAGCUUUGGAAAAAUUAGCUUGCACGACUUCGAUUCCUCGGUCGAGGUAGGUUAUGAUUUAUUCUAUGUGAUAGAUAGACAUAGACUCUUAAUAUUGAUUGAUAAUCAUUGAGUGAUAUGGUGAAUUUCUCUAUGUACUUGGUUGUGUGGUUUGGAUAAUCUGUGUUGUUUGUGAUUGGUCUGAAAUCUUGAGACCGUGAAAUUUAUAAUCUUGAACCUUCUCUAUCGAAGUGAUGCCUUGAAUAAAGAAGGCUUGAUGAAAUAUUGUUAAUGAAGUUAAAAGUGGUGAUAAUAAAUGAUAAAUUAACGAUAUAUUUGGAUCGGGUGCCACGAGCCGACACGAUGUUAUUUGAUCAGGUGUCACGUUCCGGCAAGACAACAUUAAAGGAAAACAUAUAUAAACAACGUAAUGUACUAAAAAAAAAAACGUAAUGUACUCAAUCUCAAAAAAAAAAAGAAAAAAAACUAAUAUGCAACGAGUAAUAGUAUAAAAUCAACUAUGACACUUAGUAGGUGGCAAGCAACAACCAACAUGAACAAGUGACAACAACACUAAAGUAAGUACGUAAUCAGUCAACAAUAUCAAGAGCACACAUGGGGACUCAUGCCUCCAAACUAAGCUAUUUUAGGAAUUGAGUUCUUUGAGAUUGAGUACAUUACAUUGUUUAUAUAUGUUUUCCUUUAAUGUUGUCGUGCCGGAACUGACACCCGAUCCAAUAACAUCGUGCCGGCUCGUGGCACCCGAUCCAAAUAUAUCGUUAAUUUAUCAUUUAUUAUCACCACUUUUCACUUUAUUAACAAUAUUUCAUCAAGCCUUCUUUAUUCAAGGCAUCACUUUGAUAGAGAAAGUUCAAAAUUAUAAAUUUCACGGUCUCAGGAUUUCAGACCAAUCACAAACAACACAUAGAUUCUCCAAACCACACAACCAAGUACAUAAAGAAAUUCACAAUAUCACUCAAUGAUUAUCAAUUACUAUUAAGAGUCUAUCUAUCACAUAGAAUAAACCCUAAUCUACCUCCACCGAGGAAUUGAAGUCGAGCAAGCUAAUUCUUCAAAACUUUUCCUUUCUUCAAUGCCUUCGAACGCUUUCAAUCUAUUAAACAUGCAUAAUUCAUAAGUAACCGAGUCUAUAUACACCCAUAUUACUAUAUGUCUAGCCUAGACCCAAAAACUCACCCAAAUCUAUAGUCACUUUCCUAAAGUUCAAGCCUAAGGAUAAGUUUCAAUUGCUCUAAUUAUCAUCACUUUAAUGAUAUUCGAAUUAUACAAUACACCUAAUAUUUAAUUACAUAUCUCAAUAUAUUAAAACUCAAUUUAUAAUAUGAUGACAACGUAAUAAAAUUCAAGAUUAAAGCCACUGGCUUUGAAAACUAGUGACAACAACUCUGAUCCAAAUUUAUCAUAUACUAUAAGCCAAAUUUAUCAUAUCAUCAACCAAUGAUUGACUAAUCAUUAAUCCAUCAACUUGUUAGCUUUGAUAAUUGGCCCCAAAUAAUUAUUCAUUAAUUUUGGCUACGUUUAUUGUCCAAAUUUAUGUUGUAGAUCUAUUUUUUUUGGUACACUUAAAAAAACCUAAAAAGGAAAAAAUAAAUUUUGAUAAGUCAAAUUGCUUAAUUCUCCCAAGAGAAAAAACUUUAUAUUAUUUUUGGUGACUUUCCAAACUAGAAAUUCUUCUUUAUUUUAAAAAAUAAAAUUGGAGUUAGAGAAAGUGAAAAUGGAGAAGGGGAUUACAAGGUAGGGUCAAACCCUCACCAAUAAAUUGAAAAUUCAGCUAGUCAACCAACAUAGCUACUAAGAUUCUCCAACUAGCAAUUCUUUGUAUGUUACGAUCUUUAUUUCUCCAAGAGUUUGUAAGAUUAUUUAUAAUCUCUCUUCAAAUGCAUAUUUUAUCCUUCAUUUCCAUCAAGUGUUUAUAAUUUUCACUAAUAGCAAUAUGAGAGUGAAAUUAUAUAUCCACAUUGUUUUAUUAUAAAUUGACAGCAAAAAGGUAAUAUGCUUAUUGGUAUCUUUAAUUAUGCUAUGUUUAUGUAGGAAUUUUUUUUUAAAUUUUUUCAAAUAAGAAGCUGAAGAAAGAAUAAAGUUAAAUGAAGAAAAAAGAGAUGAUAAAUCCUAAUGACAAAAUGGAGAAUAUUAAUCAAGAUUUCAUAAAAAUUCUUGAUGUGGUGAGAUCUCACAAGCAUUAUUGUCUUUUAGAAUCUCAACUUCUCAGAAAGGUAAAUACAUUGCUAAUCUAUAUAUAUGUUGUGGUUUCUUAAACUUAUAUUUGUACUUUAAUUAUAAACUAAAACUUAGACAAUUAAAAAGAAUGCUUUCUUUCUUCUAUUUCAUGUGACGUUCUUUCCUCUUUAAUCUAUUAUAAAAAAAACGUAUUUUCUUAAUUGAAACAUGAUGAAGUUUGAACCUCAUAUCUUUUUAUCUUUAAAGACAUGUUUACUUUGACUCUACAUGGAACAAAGAGUUCUAAAACUUGUGGUCUUAGAUACGUUGUAAUAAUUUUGUGACUAUAAAACUUCUCACUAAUGAUAAAAUAAAAAAUGUAUAGCUUGAUUAUUUUCAAAUAUAGACAUAUGUCAUAAUUUUUAAAUAGAUUGAUAGUAAAAUGGUGUUACAUAAAAUCGGAAAUAAAGGAGUAUCUGACAUGUUUAACACCAAAAGUUUUUUUUUCUUUUUAAACUCAUUAUUAUGAGGUCAAAUUUACAGUAUAAGGAUCAUAAAACAUGGAUUGUAUAUUCGUUACUAGUGCUAAUAUUUUUUUUUUUCCAAGAAGAUAUAUAUUAUACUAAACAAAUUAAGCAGCAUAUGGAUAUCUACAUUAUUCAAAACAUGUUAGAACAAGAUAGGUUUUUCGAACUUGGAAAAUGCCAAUUUCUUUAAAGAUAUUUUAUUCAUUUUCAGCAACGUCAUUGUUUAUUACCCGAAUGAAACUCUUCAAUAUUUUAUCGCGCCUGAACUCAUCGCCAUUAUUGUGAGAAACCCUAAUUAUGUCGCGAAAUUGUGUGUGGAUUAGCAGCAGCAGGCAAACCAAUGUUGGCCAAACAAAAAUUCGAGAACAGGGCAUAGUAUGCACAUAACAAAGCUCAAGAAGGUGAGUCGUUGGUGAGGAGGAGUACGAGAGUGAGAAAUAAGGCUUGCGAAUUCAAGAACGAUCAGGAUAAUGAUUGCAAAGGGAAACAAAGAAGAAUAACAAAGAAAAAAUAAGAAUAUUUUGGAAAUAAUGAGUGAAGCUUACUAGAAGGUGGUCAAAUUUAUAGAUGUUUUUUUAGGUGUAUUAAAUUUCUUUUGUUUUGUAGUUAUGGUAAUAUUUCAUAGUUUAUUAUCAAUGUAGAUUGUAGACUAUAAUUAAUCUCCUAACCUUAUUUUAUAAAGAAAGAAAUAAAAAUAAUUAAAUGUAUAUAAGUUUUAUAAUCAAUAAAUAUGUGUACUAACUAAUUAUAAAAUUACUAAUCAAUAAAUGACAUGUGUCCUAUUUGUGCACUUAUCACUUGUCUUCAAGUGAGUGUGCACACUCUCUAUGCCAUGUUAGUGUGUGUAGUAUAUUUAUUCCAUUUUAAAUUAGUUGGGGGGGGGGGGGGGAUAAUAGGACCUAGUUAAAUUUAGGUGUGUCUCUGAGAUUUCGGUCACAAUCCACAGGGGUACUUUUGCCUUAUCCCUUUUGUAAUUUAUGUAACCUCUAGGCCAUUUAUCUACCCAAUUUAAUACCCCACAAUCUUCCUUUUUAUUGCAAGAAAGAAUGUCUCCACUACAAAUAAUGAUGAUCUUACUUUUUUCCGGUGUAUAAGAAAAUAUAGAGUGCAUAAAAGUGAGUAAAAAAAAGUUCUUAUUAGUUGAAGGGAGAUGUUCUUUUUAUGAAGCUUUGGAUUCAAUUUUUGUCUCAUAUUUGUUGACUUGUACUUUGAGAUUGAGGUAUGUUGUCCGGAGAGGACAAGUUAAGAAGAUUAUUGCUGGACUGGUGAAAAGACUUGUUGCCAUGGGCUUAAAUCUCCUUAAAAAGAGCAAGAUAUAUAUUCAUGUCUCAACCUAGAAAUUUAUUUUCUUUAUUUUAUUUUCAAUUGUAAUUUUGUAAUUUCACCAACAAAACUACUUGACUUUCCCAUAUUAAUAUAUAUCAUCCUGUAAUUUUUUUUAAUUUUUUUUUUAACAAAAACUAUACUAUCUAAUCAGUUGAAGAAUAUCUACGCAUAAACCUAAAUUUGUUUUCUCUAUUGCUAUUUUAUUGUCAUAUUUUUUUCCCUUACAACCAUGUUAUGAACUUUUCUUUUGAAUCGUGGGUCUAUUAGAAAUAAUAUUUUUAUCACACAAAGAUAUGGGUAAAAUAUGUGUACAUCUUAAUUCUUACCCCCCUCAAACUCACUUGUGAGAUUAUACUGAAUGUUCACUACUAGAAAAACCAACUUCCAAAGAGGUCUGAAUAAACCCAUCUUUUGAAUUGUGGAUCAAUUAGAAAAAAACUCUUUAUCCCGCAAAGAUAUGAAUAAGAUAUGUGUACAUCCUACCUCCUAGAUUCAACUGUAAGAUGAAUAUGUUUUUCACUACUAAAAUUUGAUAUUGGGCAAGACUUCAUUAACAUCAAGUUAUGGUGAUGUUAAAAAAAUUGAUUAUAAAUCUCGACAAAUUUCCUUACAAAAAGUCAGGGUGAUCGUCAAAAAUUUGUCCACAAACCUGGAUGAAUCACCAUAAUAUUUUCAGCAUUAACGACAAUAUCAUAUUGUUUGAUUUAUCUCUUGAUAUAUUUGGGAUAGUUCUGAAGGAAGUGGAACUGAUACACUCCCUACUAGUAUUGUUGAGCUCUGUCCAUUUAUACUUUGUAAUUUCAUCAUUCUCUUGCUAUUAAAUUAAAACUAUGCUCUUGAAAACUCAACGAUAUAUUAAUGUGUGUGUAGAACUUUUCCAGCCCAUUUCAAUGGUAUGUUUUUUCUUUACUAAUCAUGAAUAGCUUGGUUCUACAGGUUGAAAUCUCUCUUUUCGAAAGGGUUAAACACGGUGAAGUUUGGCAUUUUAGCUAAGCAACUUUGUGAUGAAUUAACCAAUUAUGGGAUAAUGAGUGAUGAACUUGUAGAAGUGGUAGCUAUGAGAAAGAAAGUCGUGAAGGACACUACGAUAGCAAUUUGGAAUGCUAGUUUAUCCAUUAAUAUUUUCUUAAAUGUAUUUUUAAGGUUAGUUAACAUUUCUCUUUCUUGACCUUUCUAGUAAGGUUGUAACUUAAAGAACUCUUAAUUACCAUUCCUAUAUUCCAUUGUGCUAAUCUAGGAAUUCUUCCUUUUUGCCCCCAUUCUUUGUCCUCAAUUAAUUGAAAUGUUUUUAUUUUUCAAGUUA
rnacentral:lncRNA from 1 species